GAUGAAUGCUGGCGGCGUGCUUAACACAUGCAAGUCGAACGAAGCACCUCUCCCGAAGAUUGACACAGCUUGCUGUAGAUUGAUUCAUUUGAGGUGACUGAGUGGCGGACGGGUGAGUAACGCGUGGGUAACCUGCCUCAUAGAGGGGGACAACAGUUGGAAACGACUGCUAAUACCGCAUAGUAAGAAGAAUUCGCAUGUUUUCUUCUUGAAAGAUUUAUCGCUAUGAGAUGGACCCGCGUCUGAUUAGCUAGUUGGUAAGGUAACGGCUUACCAAGGCGACGAUCAGUAGCCGGCUUGAGAGAGUGAACGGCCACAUUGGGACUGGGACACGGCCCAAACUCCUACGGGAGGCAGCAGUGGGGAAUAUUGCACAAUGGGGGAAACCCUGAUGCAGCGACGCCGCGUGAGUGAAGAAGUAUUUCGGUAUGUAAAGCUCUAUCAGCAGGGAAGAUAAUGACGGUACCUGACUAAGAAGCCCCGGCUAACUACGUG
rnacentral:rRNA from 1 species